UACAGAGGUCUCAAGCGUUGUUCGGAUUCAUUGGGCGUAAAGGGUGCGUAGGCGGCGCGGUAAGUCGGGUGUGAAAUCUCGGAGCUUAACUCCGAAACUGCAUUCGAUACUGCCGUGCUUGAGGACUGGAGAGGAGACUGGAAUUUACGGUGUAGCGGUGAAAUGCGUAGAUAUCGUAAGGAAGACCAGUGGCGAAGGCGGGUCUCUGGGCCCUUGCCUGACGCUGAGGCGCGAAAGCGUGGGGAGCGAGCCGG
rnacentral:rRNA from 1 species